AUAUCAAAUGAAGUAGGGAGGUUGGUUCGGAUAUAACCGGACGUAUUUCUCUUUUCCUAUGAUAGGAUUUGACAUAAAUAUAAAUUAGUUGGUUGCUUUCCAUCACAUCUUUGAUCUUACUGUCAAGAGAGAAAUAAAGGAGGAGGACGCCGGCCUAAGGCUAAGCAACCGAAUUGGUCACCUGGCAAACAACAAGCCUUUUCUUGUUUUCAACUACCACUCCUCUUCAUAAUAUACAGUAUAAAUUCACUCUCUUCAGCAACUCUUUCUCCCUUGUCCCCCACCCCACUCCACCAAAUCCAACUGCCCCCAAUCAAUAACAACAAAAAAAUAUAUAUAUAUAUAUUUAGUGUAGUUUCACAAAGUAAGGUUUGGGCCGUCCACAACUGAUGAAGAACAAAAUUUUCCUGUGUUUUCGACCUGUUGAUGUCGCUGAGGACUCUGUUAUACGUAACCAUCACUCUUCUGUAAAAAUACACCACAAAGAAGAUUCAACUUUGAAAACAAAAAGAAAGAGGACGAGGAGCAGUAAAGACAAGUCAUUAACGAAAGCAAGCUCAUCAUCAUCAUCUGAACUUUCAUAUUCAACUUCAUCUUUAUCAUCAACUACAUCAUCAUUAUCUUCUUGUUCUUCUACAGAAGAUGAGUUAUCAAGGUCAAACUCAUCAACCUCAUCAAUUUGUCACCAUCAAAAAGAAGCUAAAAUUGGUUUGGAAGAAUGUGACAAAGUCAUGGAUUUUUCUUCACGUUCAUGUUGUGUAUUUUUGUUUAUUUUUAUUUUGUUUGUGCUUAUCUAUAUUGGUAAGGUCUAUGCUAUAGUCAUAACGUCAUUAGGGGUUAUGAUCUUCACCUUAGUUGGACGAGUUAAUUUCUCAUAGAAUUAGUUAUUCGAUUAAAAUUUAUUAUUUCAGAAAGUUACUUUAUUUAUUGAAGAACAAUAAAAAAGGUGACUUUAUGAAAUAAUAAUUAUUAAUUGAGUGAUUAUAUGAUAAAUUAAAUCAAUCCGUUGGAUGUCCAAAAUUGGAAAAUCAAUGUAAUUGCCGAAACUGAAAUAAGGAGAGAGAGCAAAAGGGUAAUCCCUCUGUAUUGCA